GGCUUCAGAGCUCAGUUGGUUUGAGCGACACAGUGACUGGAAUUGCGAGGUCAAAGGUUCAAACCCUGUUGAAGUCC
rnacentral:tRNA from 1 species